rnacentral:lncRNA from 13 species
AAACAUUUCCUUGGUUCCCAAUAGAAAAAAAAAUUCUUAUAUAUCAUUGCUUAACACUUGGGAAUGUGGCUACUCCUAGAUGAAAGUGAAUCUGGAAAAGUAAAGCUUUGACUCUUUGCCUUAAUCACAAAAGGUAUAAAAAGCUCCACUGUAGAUGGCGUUGGGUCCAUUUCUUGCCUCACAUGUGUUAGGAAAGUAAAGAGCCAGCUGUAAGUGAAGUGAACUUCUACAGGAGAGAGCACACCUUCCUGAGGUGCUCAGCAAUCCCCAUUUGCAUAAUAUUUUCAUAACCUAUAAACCCAGCAGAACUUUCUGGCCUGACCAUUCAUCAUUU